rnacentral:rRNA from 1 species
AUUGAACGCUGGCGGCAUGCCUUACACAUGCAAGUCGAUCGGUAACAGGUCUUCGGACGCUGACGAGUGGCGAACGGGUGAGUAAUACAUCGGAACGUGCCCGAUCGUGGGGGAUAACGAGGCGAAAGCUUUGCUAAUACCGCAUACGAUCUACGGAUGAAAGCGGGGGAUCUUCGGACCUCGCGCGGACGGAGCGGCCGAUGGCAGAUUAGGUAGUUGGUGGGAUAAAAGCUUACCAAGCCGACGAUCUGUAGCUGGUCUGAGAGGAUGAUCAGCCACACUGGGACUGAGACACGGCCCAGACUCCUACGGGAGGCAGCAGUGGGGAAUUUUGGACAAUGGGCGAAAGCCUGAUCCAGCCAUGCCGCGUGCAGGAUGAAGGCCUUCGGGUUGUAAACUGCUUUUGUACGGAACGAAAAGCCUCUUUCUAAUAAAGAGGGGUCAUGACGGUACCGUAAGAAUAAGCACCGGCUAACUACGUG